UACGGGGGGGGCAAGCGUUGUUCGGAAUUACUGGGCGUAAAGGGUCCGUAGGCGGCCAACUAAGUCAGACGUGAAAUCCCCCGGCUUAACCGGGGAACUGCGUCUGAUACUGGUUGGCUUGAGUGCAGGAGAGGAACGCGGAAUUCCAGGUGUAGCGGUGAAAUGCGUAGAUAUCUGGAGGAACACCGGUGGCGAAGGCGGCGUUCUGGACUGUAACUGACGCUGAGGGACGAAAGCCAGGGGAGCAAAC
rnacentral:rRNA from 1 species